ensembl:lncRNA
AUCAUUCCUCCCUCCAAGAAGCAGAGGCUAAUUUCAUGCCCUCCUCACACAUACAAUAUGGAAGAAGUGGCCGCAUGGAACUUCCCAGGCCAGGUCAGAGAAGGCACUAUGGCUUCCCCUCUGUCCUCUCUUGAUCACGUGCUCUGGAGCGCCUGCUGCCAUGGGGUGGGACCUUCGAGAGCCCGUGGAGCCAUCAUGUGAGGAACUGUGGCCUCCCUGCAGCAGCCCAUGUUGGAGGCAGAGACUCCAGCCCCAGUCAAACCCUCAGAUGAUGGUAACCCCAGCCAGUGUCGUGAGGCAGCCUCCGGAGAGACCCUGAGCCAGGGCCACCCACUGAGCUUACCCUGGAUCCUGACCCCCAAAAACUGCAAGUCGAUAAAGGUUUGCUGAUGUUUUAAACUGCUAAAUUUUGGAGUGCUUUGUUACACAGCAGGAGAUAACCGACACACAUACUAAGAGUUGAGAACUUUUAUUAAACCUUUCCUUUGUGCCGAGCACUGGGCUAAAUGCAUCAAAAGGAUCUCACCAUCUUCCCAACAGCCCACAGGGAGCAGAGCUUUUCAUUACCAUCAGUCUCAGAGGACACGACUGGGGCUCAUAGAGGGGAAGAAACCUCUCCAUUUCACACAGCUGAUUCAUUCCCCAAACGGAUGUGACCCCAGCACAGGAGAAAUGCAUGAUAGCCGGAUAAUAAACCCACAGAUCAGAACUGUCAGAUCGUCUUCAGAGCAAAAGGCAACACGCUCUCCCGAGAUGUUGCUCCCAGAACCUUAAUGAUCCUUCUUUAGGAUUCAGAUGACAACCCCCUGCUAAACACCAUUGCUCUACAGGCACAUUUUGCAUAGAACUUGAACUUGAGGCUUUCAGAAUGCGUUUUCUCCUCCUCCCUGUCCUCACAGAUGUGAGGUACUCAACGUUUCCAUGAUGCUUUCAGCGUGAGCAUGGGCCACUGAGAACUAAAACGCUUCUGCACGGCAAAAGAAAUAAUCAACAGAGUAAACAGACAACGUAUAGAAUGAGAGAAAAUAUUUGCAAACUGUACCUCCAGUGAAGUACUAAUGUCCAGAAUCUACAGGGAACCCAGGGAAAUUAACAAGAAACAAAUAAUCCCAAUAAAAAUGGGCAAACGACAUGAACAGACAUUUUCUCAAAGAAGAUAUACAAAUGGCCAACAAAGACGAAAAAAUACUUAACGUCACUCAUCAUUAGCGAAAUGCAAAUUAAAACAGCAAUGAGAUACCACUUUACUCCAACCAGAAUGGCCAUUAUUGAAAAGUCAAAAGACAAUUGUAUGAGCCAGGUUCUCUAGAGGGACAGAACUAAUAGGAUCUAUUUAUAUAUGAAAGAAAGUUUAUUAGGGAGAAUUGGCUCACACAAUUACAAGGCGAAGACCCACAAUAGGCCAUCUGCAAGCUGAGGAAGAGAGAGGCCAACAGUUGUUCAAUCUGAGUCCAAAAGCCUCAAAACCAGGAAGCUGACAGUGCCGUCUUCAGUCUGCUGGAUGAAGGUCUCAGAGCCCCCAGGGAAGCCACUGGUACAAAUCCCAGAGUAAAAGGCCAAAGAAUCUGGAUCCUGAUGUCCAGGGGCAGGAGGAGAAGGUGGAAGCAUCCAGCACGGGAGAAGGAAGCCAGGAUACCCAGCAAGCAAGGUCAUGCCACAAUCCUCCACCUCCUUUCCCCAAGCUGUGCUAGCAGCCAAGUGGAUGGUGCCCUCCCACAUUGAGGAUGGGUCUUCCUCUCCCAGUCCACUGACUCAAAUGUCAAUCUCCUCUACCAACACCCUCAUAGACACACUCGGAAGCAAUAGUUUACCAGUCAUCUAGGCAUCCCUCAAUCCAAUCAAACUGACAACUAAUAUUAACCAUCACAACAAUAGAUGUUGGUAUGGAUAUGAGUGAAAAGGGAACACUUAUACACUGCUGGUGGGAAUGUAAAUUAAUACAACCACUAUGGAAAACAGUAUGGUGGUUUCUCAAAAAACCUGAAAGUAGAUCUACCAUUCAAUUCAGCAAUCCCGUUACUGGGUAUCCGCUCAAAGGAAAAGAAGUCAGUAUGUAAAAAACACAUCUACACAAGCAUGUUUAUCACAGCACAAUUCACAAUUGCAGAUACAGAAUCAACCUAAGUGCCCUUCAACCAAUGAGUGGAUAAAUGUGAGAUAUAUAAAUAGAUAGAUAUGGUAUAUUUAAUGUAUAUAUAAAUAUGAUAUAUAUUUAUUUAUAUGGUCCUUAUGCAAUGCUUUAAGUAUAUAUACACUACUCAGUCAAAAAAAAAAAAAAAAAA